rnacentral:rRNA from 1 species
GACGAACGCUGGCGGCGUGCCUAAUACAUGCAAGUUGAGCGCUGAAGGUUGGUACUUGUGCCAACUGGAUGAGCAGCGCACGGGUGAGUAACGCGUGGGGAAUCUGCCUUUGAGCGGGGGACAACAUUUGGAAACGAAUGCUAAUACCGCAUAAAAACUUUAAACACAAGUUUUAAGUUUGAAAGAUGCCAUUGCAUCACUCAAAGAUGAUCCCGCGUUGUAUUAGCUAGGUGGUGAGGUAAAGGCUCAACAAGGCGAUGAUACAUAGCCGACAUGAGAGGGUGAGCGGCCACAUUGGGACUGGGACACGGCCCAAACGCCUACGGGAGGCAGCAGUAGGGAAUCGUCGGCAAUGGACGAAAGUCUGACCGAGAAACGCCGCGUGAGGGAAGAAGGUUUUCGGAUCGGAAAACUCGGUUGGUAGAGAAGAACGUUGGUGAGAGUGGAAAGCUCAUCAAGUGACGGUAACUACUCAGAAAGGGACGGCUAACUACGUG